rnacentral:tmRNA from 1 species
GGGGUCGAUCUGGCUUCGACGUGGGUCGCGAAACAGCGUAGGGCAUGCCGAGCACCAGUUCGCUCGUAAAUCCACUGGAAAAAAUAUAAACGCCAACGACGAGCGUUUCGCUCUGGCCGCUUAAGCGGUGAGCCGCUGCACUAGUUUGUCUUUGGGCUAGGUAGGGAAACCUACAGCAGCGUCAUAUACAAGGAAUCGGUAUUAGCUGGGUUACGCAGUUAAUGCUUAAAUCUUAGUGACUCGCCAAGGAAGGGCCCGUCAGCCGGCAUGAUCCGAGGUUAAAACUUAAAAUGGGUUGACUAAGCAUGUAGAACUGCCUGCAGAGGUCCCGCGGACGGGGGUUCAAUUCCCCCCGACUCCACCA